rnacentral:lncRNA from 1 species
UUUUUUUCUUUUUGAGACAGGGUCUUCCUCUGUCACCCAGGCUGGAGUGCAGUGACAUGAUCACAGCUCACUGCAGCCUCGACCACCGAUCCUCCCUCCUGAGUAGCUAAGACCACAGGUAUGCACUACCAUGCCUGGUCAAUUUUUUUUUUUUUUUUAGUAGAGACGGAGUCUCAUUAUGUUGGCCAGGCUGGUCUCAAACUCCUGGGCUCAAGUGAUCCUCCCACCUUGGUCUCCCAAAGUGCUGGGACUACAGGCAUGAGCCACUGUACUGGGCUGAGGUUCAUACUAUUUUCUCAUGUGUCUAAACUGCAUUGCAGGACACAAGGGUGUAGUAUAAUAGUUGUUAUUCAAGCAAGUUAAAGUGGCAGUCCACUGCAGAUCAGGAGGACCACUCACACAGAACCUGCUUAAGGGUAGUGGCAAGAACUUGGGAUAAUAACCGUAGAUUAGGUUGAGGGCAGUGGCUCACACCUGUAAUCCUGGCACUUUGGGAGGCUGAGGCAGGCAGACCACUUGAGGUCAGGAGUUUGAGAUCAGCCUGGCCAACAUGGUGAAACCCCUUCUCUACUAAAAAUACAAAAAUUAGCUGGGCAUGGUGGCAGGUGCCUGUAGUCCCAGCUACUCAGGAGGCUGAGGCAGGAGCAUGGGUUGAACCCAUGAGGCACAGGCUGCAGUGGGCCGAGAUUACGCCACUGCACUCCAGCCCGGGCAACAGAGCGAGACUCCAUCUCAAUGACAACACCAAAAAAAGAUUGUAGAUUAACAAGCAAAUGUUUGCUUAAUACUGUAACUUAACAUAAGGCACGUGGGUUAGGUUGGCUAGACUCCUCACUACAGUGGCCAUCCGAGACCAUAAUCUGGGCUCAGAGCACGGAUCUAAAAGAAGCAAGAAGCCCUCAUCUGGAUGUGGCUUGGCCUGAAGGAGCCUGGGGGCCUCUGAUCUCCUGCAAAUAGUCGCCAGCUUUCCUUCACUUAGCGGCUGGCCUCAGCAGAGAUGUCAGCGAUUCAUAGAAAUGGUUCUUCCCUUUAUCCUUUGAGAAAAGGGACAUGCAAAAUGAGCCAAACGUUUUCUAGUGUGAACAGACUGAGGUGCUGCUUUUAAAAAGACACAUGGAGCAACCGAAAAGUCCAGUGGAAAACAGAAAAUAACCAAGAGGUCAGAAACUAACACGAGAGAAGAAAGUAGCGAUGAUUUAAAUGUGCGCAUUAACAGUUCACAGGAAUGGAACAGAGUUUCCAUACACUGAAAGAUGAGUCUCUUUUCCAUCUCCACCCAGAGCACAACUUCAAAGGAACAGACUCAAAUUGUCGGAAGGGCUAAAAAGAACAACUUUGACUUGUUAGGGAUAUCAGACUCUGAUCCAAACUAACAAAGGAAAUAAUGUGCUCACCUUGGAAAAUCUUUUUUUUUUUUUUAUUAAUGGAUAGCUUAAAAAAAUAAAAAUGAGCCUGGCUGUAUUGUGGGUUAGGUGCGGGUUCUGGCUGGACGUCGGGGGAG